rnacentral:siRNA from 1 species
ACGUUGUAAUGCAUUUAUAGGUGA